CUUUGGUCCUGAAUCCUUUGUCUCCUUUCCCAGCUAAGUGAGAUAAGUGAAGUUGCUCAGUCCUGUCUGACUCUUUGUGACCUCAUGCACUGUAGCCUACCAGGCUUCUCCAUCCAUGGGAUUUUCCAGGCAAGGGUACUGGAGUGGGUUGCCAUUUCCUUCUCUCUAAGGUAGGUCAAUGGGAUAAAACUAAGUAUUGUGAAAAUAUUUUAUCAAAUUAACCAGUAAAAUCUGAAAGGUGAUUAUAAAUCUGUCACCAUACAUUUCAAAUAUUAAAAGUAAUUUUAAAACAUUGUUUUAUUAGGGAUAACAUUCUACUAACAUUUUCUUCUAAUCAUCAUCCUGACAGGUACUAAUACAUUAGAUGUUCAAAACACAAUUCGAUGUUAACUGAAUCGCUAGGCUUUUGGGGGGGUCUUCACUGUGACCUCUGAUACUGCCCCCAGUUGUUGGAAUAUGAAUCCUUGCUUUGAAAUUUCCGGCUUUGUCAUCUUAGGCAUGUAGGAUCCUGACUUCAUGACAAGGGAUUGAACCCACACCUCUUGCACUGGAAAACAAAGUUCCAACCACUAGACCUCCAAGAACGUCCCGGGAAUGUCUUAACUGGGGAUCCCUGAAAAGCAGAUUCUGUGGCAAAGAUUCAUGAGAUACCCCUGUAUCAGGGAAUACAAUCCUAGAUAGUGAGAGUGAAGAAAAGGAUAAUGAGUUUAGGAAGGGGGAAAAGACAAUAGAAGAUGCAAGGAUUGAGUUGACUAACUGCUCCAUCUCAAAAGACAAUUUUCUAAGAGGCAUUAUGGACAACUGCUUCUCAUAAGGCAAAAAAAAAAAAAAAAAAAAGUGAUCUCUAGUUGUCCCCCAACCUGUUAUUGGUUAGUCAAGGAUGUAUCCCCAAAAGAUUAAUUACUCCAGUUCCUACAACACUCAUGCAUACCCCCCACACACAUACGUCCCCUGCUUGUAUAUAUUUUGACAUCAGCUACAAAUACCUCUACAUCACUACUCUUCAAUAAGAAGGCCUUAGGGCAGGCAGUCUGUGUUGUGAAGUUGGUCACAGUCUACCCCCAGUUAGUUCUGGCUAUUGGAGUUGGAGCAGGUAAAACAGUGAGAUGGAAGGGGUGAGGGAG
ensembl:lncRNA